UACGGGGGGCAAGCGUUGUUCGGAAUUACUGGGCGUAAAGGGCUCGUAGGUGGCCAACUAAGUCAGACGUGAAAUCCCCAGGCUCAACUUGGGAACUGCGUCUGAUACUGGAUGGCUUGAAUUCGGGAGAGGGAUGCAGAAUUCCAGGUGUAGCGGUGAAAUGCGUAGAUAUCUGGAGGAAUACCGGUGGCGAAGGCGGGUCUCUGGGCAGUAACUGACGCUGAGGAGCGAAAGCGUGGGGAGCGAACAGG
rnacentral:rRNA from 1 species